rnacentral:lncRNA from 1 species
AGUAUAGAUUUAAAAUAGUGAUUAAAUCAAAUUCUCAUUGCGGAUGGGCGAUAAUAAUUCAAAUAAACGUCUGCGAAUCACCCCCUUCACUCAUGCCUUCUUCUUAAGAAUGUGCGCCCCAAGUCUUGGUUGCCUACUGUAGCUACAUCCUUGUUCCAUCCUUGUUCUCCCGUUACAAGCGGCUAAAACCUCACGCACAAAAGAGGAUGGAUAUCUUACCGUAGGGGGUCUUUACUCUUCUGCGAUUUCGAAGUUCCUUGUGUUGCCAGCUACUUGCACUGAAAUCGGUAAAGCGCAUUAGGACGACAAGUGUUUUAGACUAAUUACCUUGUGAGUUGUACAGAUCGCCAUUCAUCACAGACUGUGACGCUUCCCGCUGUUUCUUCUUUUUCCUUCGACUGGCUGUCGCCUCGGGGUUCACUACCUUCACUCUCUUCCAGUUGCCUCUUCUUCCCAACUGUCAGUUCUGCUUGGUCCACAUCUGCUACUGGCACUUUGUCCCUCGCCACCCUGAGAAAUGCAUGGUUCCCAGCUGCAAAUCGUUUUUGGACAAAGCGGACAUGGCUUCCCCAACCUUUUGUGA